UCUCCUUCCCGUCCGCGCGCUUGUUCGUUUGUGUUGGGGGUUUUUGUUGACAAGAGCACACGGUGUGUUUUGGUGGUUUUGUUUGUGUGUUCGAUAUUGCUUGCAAUUUGGUAUUGGAGGAAUUCUUGGAGACAGUGUGUUGUAUGGCGGGGGGGGGGGGGGGAGAGGGUGGGUUGUGUAUUUUGCCAAGCCAAGUGUAGUGUGUGUGGUAGUGUGAAAUUGUGUGUAUUGAUAUUUAGUGGUGACGGAUGAUUCAUUCCCGCGGGAACAGUUGUUGACCAGGCAGCGUGAAACUUUUUCUGUAAAGAGUGCGCAAUGUCCGAAAACGUUUUCGUGGAUAUUCCAAAUAAUGAGCAAACAUAUAAUGCUCAGGAUUGUUUUGCUCCCAGAUUACCUUUGGUUCGUUUGCCCAACGUGCCGAACUUACGCAUCACACCGAUUAUUUUACCAAGUGAAAAUCGACCAGCUAGCACUUCUACAAAACUUGUUGCAUGUAAUGAUGUUUAUACACCACAUGAUUUGAGACAUAUUUCAAACGAUGAUCAGCAUAAAUGUUGCAAAUGUAGUACGGAGAAGUUCAUAAACUGAAACAACAGCUAGCUGUGAGCGAAGCAUUGAAUAACAAAUUAGAAGAGGAAUUAAAGUAAUUAGAAUAAAAAUGUUCUAGAGCAAAAGUUAGAAAUUGUUUUAAAAAAUUCGGCCUAUCAACGAGAAGCGUUCCAGGAGUUCGUUACUGUGAGUCGUCCAAGAGAAGGUCUUCUUCCCAAAACUAAUUUUGAAUUCGCUCCAAUGCAAAACGAUGAAGAGUUGCAAAAUUUUGACAGACAGUUAGGUACAGAUGCAGAGUACAAAGCAAAAGUCGUUCGUUAUUUACAAAAACAAGUAGAUCGAUCAGAUGUGCUGAAUCGUCUGCAUUCUUUAAUAGACUUGCUGUUUGGCAAAACAUUUUUCUCUAAAUUUUGUUGGAUGGGUAGUUAUGAUAAAAAAAAUCCCAAAAAACCAUUUAACAUUUAUAAAAACGUUAUAAACCUGUUUCAAAUAAUAGGGACAAAUGAAAAUAUUAUG